rnacentral:rRNA from 1 species
CCUACGGGUGGCAGCAGUGAGGAAUAUUGGUCAAUGGUCGGGAGACUGAACCAGCCAAGCCGCGUGAGGGAUGAAGGUACAGAGUAUCGUAAACCUCUUUUGUCAGGGAACAAAGGCGGGGACGUGUCCCCGGAUGCGUGUACCUGAAGAAAAAGCAUCGGCUAACUCCGUGCCAGCAGCCGCGGUAAUACGGAGGAUGCGAGCGUUAUCCGGAUUUAUUGGGGUUAAAGGGGGCGUAGGUGGGUCGUUAAGUCAGCGGUGAAAGUUUGGGGCUCAACCCUAAAACCGCCGUUGAAACUGGCAGUCUCGAGUAGGGUUGAGGUAGGCGGAAUGCGCGGUGUAGCGGUGAAAUGCAUAGAUAUCACGCAGAACUCCGAUUGCGAAGGCAGCAUACCAA